rnacentral:rRNA from 1 species
CGGAACACGUACAGAACCUUCCUUUAAGCGGGGAUAGCCCAUAGAAAUGUGGAUUAAUACCCCAUAGUAAUGUACUGGUUGGCAUCUAACUGUAUUUAAAGAUUUAUCACUUAAAGAUGGCUGUGCGGCUGAUUAGGUAGUUGGUGUGGGUAACGGCCCACCAAGCCAGCGAUCAGUAACUGGUGUGAGAGCACGACCAGUCACACGGGCACUGAGACACGGGCCCG